rnacentral:rRNA from 1 species
AUGCUUAACACAUGCAAGUCGAACGAGGUGCUUGAGUAGCAAUACAAGAGUAUCCUAGUGGCGAACGGGUGAGUAACGCGUUGGUGACCUACCCCAAAGUGUGGGAUAACAGUCCGAAAGGAUUGCUAAUACCGCAUGUGGUUAUUGGAUCUAGAAACUGAUAACUAAAGGAGCAAUUCGCUUUGGGAGGGACCUGCGUCCCAUCAGCUAGUUGGUGAGGUAACGGCUCACCAAGGCUACGACGGGUAGGGGACCUGAGAGGGUGGCCCCCCACAAUGGAACUGAAACACGGUCCAUACACCUACGGGUGGCAGCAGUAGGGAAUAUUGCACAAUGGGCGAAAGCCUGAUGCAGCAACGCCGCGUGUGCGAUGAAGGCCUUCGGGUCGUAAAGCACUUUUCUGAGAGAUGAGAAAGGACAGUAUCUCAGGAAUAAGUCUCGGCUAACUACGUGCCAGCAGCCGCGGUAACACGUAGGAGGCGAGCGUUAUCCGGAUUCACUGGGCGUAAAGCGCGUGCAGGCGGUUUGGUAAGUUGAUCGUGAAAGCUCCCGGCUCAACUGGGAGAGGUCGUUCAAUACUACCGAACUAGAGAGUAGAAGAGGAAGAUGGAAUUCCCGGUGUAGUGGUGAAAUGCGUAGAUAUCGGAAGGAACACCAGUGG